rnacentral:rRNA from 1 species
UACGGAGGGGGCGAGCGUUGUUCGGAAUUACUGGGCGUAAAGGGCGCGUAGGCGGCCAGAUCAGUCAGACGUGAAAGCCCCGGGCUCAACCCGGGAUGUGCGUUUGAUACUGUCUGGCUCGAGACCGGAAGAGGAUGGCGGAAUACCCAGUGUAGAGGUGAAAUUCGUAGAUAUUGGGUGGAACACCAGUGGCGAAGGCGGCCAUCUGGUCCGGAUCUGACGCUGAGGCGCGAAAGCGUGGGGAGCAAACAGG